rnacentral:lncRNA from 1 species
AUGGGGGAAAACAAAAUGAGAAACAAAGACGUCGUUUUUAACCCUAUGGCGUCGGCCCCCUCCCCUAAGUUUGCUCCAAGUUCGCAACCCCUGGACUCCUGUUCGGGUUUGUUGAGUCCACCUGCUUCCCCUCCCAUUAGUUUGAAAGAGCACUUAAUCUCCUCGUUUGUGACCCCUCAGAGGGAACAUUUAGCCUUUUUUGAAAGGCUUGCCCCGCGCCUUAAAGCGUGGGAGUCGAUAACAUCGGACUCUUGGGUCCUAGAAGUUAUUAAAAAGGGUUAUGCCAUUGAGUUUAUAUCUCACCCCCGAACGGGGAUUCUCCGCACCACCACCCCCUCCGCUUGCCUCUUAGACGAAGUCUCGACCCUCCUGCAGAAGGGUGCGAUCUCUAGAAUACCUCCGCGUAAAGCCCAUUCUUGUUUUUUCUCCAGAUACUUCCUUAUUAGGAAGAGGUCGGGUGGACUGCGUCCAAUACUAGACUUACGUGCCCUUAAUAGGCACAUUCGGGCCCGUAAAUUUCGUAUGGUUACGUUGACCUCCAUAUUGCCUCUAUUGCGUAGGGGAGUCUGGUUUGCGACCAUUGACUUACGUGACGCGUAUUUCCAUAUCUCCAUACGGCGCUCCCAUCGUAGGUACCUUAGCUUCCUAGUAGGACGCUCCAUCUAUUCCUUCAAUGUGCUCCCGUUCGGACUAGCUACGGCGCCAAGGGUGUUCACAAAAUGUAUGGCCACUGUAGCCGCGUACUUAAGACAAAAAGGAAUAAUUCUUUUUCCAUAUAUUGAUGACUGGCUGGUCGUCAGUGACUCAGAAGCAGACCUAAGGGAUGAUGUGUCCUCUACGCUCCUUCUUUUGCAGGACCUUGGCCUGGUGGUCAACAAAGAAAAGUCUCAUUUAACCCCUUCGCAAAACAUCGAGUUCAUUGGGGCUGUCCUAGAUUCUCGGUCAGGAAGGGCCUGUCUUCCAGAGUCCCGCUUCCGGGCUAUCCGGGCCUCCAUAUUGCAACUCCAGUCCCGACGACGAGCUUCAGCGUGGCAUAUCCAGUCCAUCCUAGGCCAUAUGGCCUCCACCACUGCAGUGGUAGAGCUGGCAAGACUAAGAAUGAAACCCCUUCAGAGGUGGUUCCUGGACUCGUUCAAUCCGCUCUGCGACAGCCAAUGGAUGGUGUUGACACCCCCGCCUCCUGUCCUGCAGUCGUUACGAUGGUGGACAAGCAGACGCAACCUGCGGACAGGUCUACCUUUCCGCCCCCCGAUACCAACUUACGAGGUUACAAAGGACGCGUCCCAGGACGGAUGGGGCGCUCAUCUCAACAACGUAGUAAUCAACGGUCGUUGGACAAGCCGCGUGCGAAACUACCAUAUCAAUGUCCUGGAAUUCCUGGCAGUGGAGAAAGCCCUCCACGCCUUCGAAAGGAUCCUGCGAGGAACCACCGUACGGAUUGUGACGGACAAUACAACGGUAAAGUGCUACCUCAACCGGCAGGGAGGUACCCAUUCGAGGCGUCUGCUGCUCUCCUCCCUCCGACUUUGGGACUGGUGCAUCAAGAAGCGAGUGACACCACAAGCAAUACAUCUACCGGGAAAAGACAACGUGCUAGCAGACUCUCUCAGCCGUUCAAAAACGGCAUGUCACGAAUGGCAGCUGAAACACACAGAGUUCCGCCUUCUGGCGCGCCGAUGGGGCUGGCCGAUAAUCGACCUCUUCGCAUCCCCAGAAAACACCCAAUGCACCACGUUUUGCGCACGUCUUCGCCCAGGAGCGGCUCCAGGGUGCUUAGGGGAUGCAUUCCGGUUCCAAUGGACCGGGGGACUACUGUAUGCCUUCCCUCCCCUACCAUUGAUAGGGAGGACCAUCUCGAAGAUCAUGUCGGACAACACAGACUGCAUAGUAAUAACACCAUGGUGGCCACGCCAACCGUGGUUUGCCCCACUCUGGAAGGCAGCGAAGGGCGAAUACGUCAGGUUGGGAAAGUCUCCAGACCUCCUAUCCCUCCACAAAGGGCGGGUCCGCCACCCAGAUGUAUCAUCGCUGAAUCUCACCGGCUGGAGGAUCAGACCAACCUCUCAGCCCCAGUGA